rnacentral:lncRNA from 1 species
CACUAUCUUGUAUUUCGUAUCCAUCUCUUCUAUCCUUUCAUCCAUGGCAUGGUGUGUAUUCCUUAUCAUGACGUGUGCUUGAGAUCCAACGUAAAUACCACCACUAUGAAUAACAAAAUACAUUGGAGCAGCUGAAAGUGCACCUAGAAUAACAUCUUUUUGAAUAAGUGACCUUGGGAGGACAACACUUUGGCUCCCAACAACUGAAUUGUCUUGUAC